GCCACGUUGUCAAUUCACUUGUCAAUAGUCAAUGUCCGUCUUGUCAGAGUCGUUGCCUUUCAUUUGUGAGUCGUCUCUUACUCUCGUCAUCCUAAAGUUUUUGCUCUCACCGUCCUAAAGUUUAAGACUGGUGAAGAUAAAAGCUACAGUGAGAGGCCGUGACCAGUUCUGAUUCCGAAGAAAAAGCGAGAACUGACUCUGCCGUCAUAAAUGGACGAAUAGAACGAUGGCGUUGAAGGAAUAUUAUUGGUUGUACAGAUGAAUGUGAAAAAAAUAUCCUGGAUUAAUAGAAAAUGCUUUCUUGGAGCUACUGUUGAAGAAGAGAGAAGAGACUUGUCUGAGUGUAACAUUACUGGCCAAAAAGACGAAAGCUCUGUUGCGGUUCCUUUUUGAGUGUCGUCAACGAGUCACACUAGCUAAGGCACACUAGCUGAACUACUGGCCAUCCUAUGAUGUAAGCUGUGUCUAUGGAUUGG